UACUGCAGUCGAGCGGACAGUAUGGGAGCUUGCUCCCUGAUGUUAGCGGCGGACGGGUGAGUAACACGUGGGUAACCUGCCUGUAAGACUGGGAUAACUCCGGGAAACCGGGGCUAAUACCGGAUGCUUGUUUGAACCGCAUGGUUCAGACAUAAAAGGUGGCUUCGGCUACCACUUACAGAUGGACCCGCGGCGCAUUAGCUAGUUGGUGAGGUAACGGCUCACCAAGGCGACGAUGCGUAGCCGACCUGAGAGGGUGAUCGGCCACACUGGGACUGAGACACGGCCCAGACUCCUACGGGAGGCAGCAGUAGGGAAUCUUCCGCAAUGGACGAAAGUCUGACGGAGCAACGCCGCGUGAGUGAUGAAGGUUUUCGGAUCGUAAAGCUCUGUUGUUAGGGAAGAACAAGUGCCGUUCAAAUAGGGCGGCACCUUGACGGUACCUAACCAGAAAGCCACGGCUAACUACGUGCCAGCAGCCGCGGUAAUACGUAGGUGGCAAGCGUUGUCCGGAAUUAUUGGGCGUAAAGGGCUCGCAGGCGGUUUCUUAAGUCUGAUGUGAAAGCCCCCGGCUCAACCGGGGAGGGUCAUUGGAAACUGGGGAACUUGAGUGCAGAAGAGGAGAGUGGAAUUCCACGUGUAGCGGUGAAAUGCGUAGAGAUGUGGAGGAACACCAGUGGCGAAGGCGACUCUCUGGUCUGUAACUGACGCUGAGGAGCGAAAGCGUGGGGAGCGAACAGGAUUAGAUACCCUGGUA
rnacentral:rRNA from 1 species